CUCAGAUCUUCGGUACAACAGCCAGAUAGAGAAGUGCUCUCCAAAUAUUUACUCAACAUUUGUUACUACCAUCAAUAUUUUAAUAUUUAACAGAUAAAAGUCUCUAGAUUGUGGUCUUCUCUGAAAAUCUCCACCAGCCCAAUGUGGUUAAUUCCGUCCGUCUUUGAGAGAAGUUCUGGUUCCUUGUGACGGACACCUCGGUCCGUUCAGGAGAAGAAUUGGUGGCGUGAGAAGAUUCAGAUGAUGCAGAUAUACAGUCCUCCUUCUCCGCCUCUCCAUUGUAUCGUUGUUAGAGGCACCGUGUUCUCUUCAUCCUACCACUCAUCAAAGAGAAAACAAACACAGAAGCCGGACCACACGAUACGAGUUUCUCCGUUACCCUCAGUCUGCCCACGCGCUCCGGAAAUCCUCCGGCAUAAUCAAUGCGUCGGUUAUCCCCCCUUCUCCCCUCCCUGUAUUCUCAGAUGAGCAUAUUAAGAGGCAUUUGUGAUAUUCCCAAGGAGUGAAGAUCAAGGCUCCGAGCUUAUCCACCGCCUGUUUGGCAACCACACAUUUCCCCCGACAGUUGGAGGAAGGUAGAGUUUAAAUCGUAUUAUUCUCUCUCUGAUCUCUUCCCUCUCCUGCAGGCCGGAGUGUCAUGUUCUACCUACAGCGCAGCCAGUUGUGUAACUGCUGUGCGUGUUGCUAGCAAACACGUUUCUGCUCCUGUGUGGGUUUUACUUUUUUUAUUUUCCAUGCCCACAGACGUGCAUUUAAAGCUGCAUGGGAGAAUGUGCCGUGUUGCCGGGGUAUUAGUAUGCUAAUUGGGUGGAGAAGCAGAUAAUGCUUCCUGUUUUGUGUGUGUGUGUGUGUGUGUGUGUGUGUGUGUGUGUGUGUGUGUGUG
ensembl:lncRNA